rnacentral:lncRNA from 1 species
CGACAGCGGCGCUAAUGAGCCGAACACGAGCCAGCUCAAUUAAGUUGCGAGCCAAUCAUGAGCCGGAGUUUUUCAGCUCGUCACGAGCUCGAGCCGAACACGAGCUGACCUUGAAGACGUUCGAGCCGAGCUCGAGCUGGCUCUAGCUCGCUCGAGCUCGACUUGUUUGCAGCCCUAGUAUCAAUCCUUUCGGAGAAUACUCUAGUGGAGUUGAUUUCAAGUUGGAGCAAGCAAAGUGAGCAGGUCAGACACAAUGAUAUAGAGCAACUAAAUACAAAACAACAGGUAAUGAAGCAUUAUGCUUAUAAAAGAAGAAGUAAAGGAGUUUUUGAGGUGAAAGAGCAAUUAUGCUUGAAGUUGUUACUCUGUGAGCUACCUAUCAAGCCUCUAGAAGGGUAUCUAAGGCUCAUAAUUAACCAAUUUGGACUUACUAUAUCUCGGAGCUAACAAGAUCUACGGCAUGCAGGUUGCGACUUACUGAUGGUCCCAGGGGUGAUCCCCGCCCCAACACGUGCCUCCAUCCAUGCAGCCAGCAAGAGGAGAUGGGCGAGUGUCGACAUAAUUGGAAAAACAACUCAGAGCGGCGCCAGGAGGCAAGAAAACAGCAAGGGUUCAAAUAUGGCUUGAAGGAAGCAAUUUUGAAGAAGAAGAAUGUGUUGCUGAGAAAGCAAUUGGGUACUCCCAAACCGAGUUCAAGGGCUCUAUGAGUUCCAUCCUUAAGGACAAGGAUGAUUUUAAGGGGAGGGGAUUGUAACAAUCCUGAAGAAUAAAUGGUACAGGUAGUAGUAGUAGGAGUUAGCAGGGGAGAGUAGUAAAAAUGUCAACUUUACUCAGUUAGGAGAGGAAUAAGGGCGACAGCAGGGUGGAGAGGAGCGAACUCGGCGGAGCGAUCCGGCGGGAAGGUGCUCGGAUGGUCAGAUACUCGGAUCGAGUAAGAAGGGCGG